rnacentral:misc_RNA from 1 species
CGAAGAAACGGAAGUAUUCGUCAGCAUACACGCCCAGUCUGAUACGCACCCAGGCGCGGGCGCAUCUUCGCUCACAAGCAUAGAGAGAGAAAGCACACGUCUACGGCCGUGUGCGUGCGCCUCCGCGUGUGACGGAGGGCUGACGCUCAGUCGGCUGCCGGCAAAGGAUCGGCGCAUCGGUCCUCUGGUAGGAGGGGAAUGCUGGCCGACAUCGUCAAGUACGCGCGGUGGCUCUGGGAUGCCGUGCUGCUCCCGUACGUCAUCACUUCCAUAUCGAGUCUUGCCUCGGAUGGCUGGGAGUCUUUCAUCCACCUGAAGGAGAGCGUCAUCGUGCUCUUCUUCUUCCUGUGCGGCUGCAGCCACCGCACCUUCCCGCUGUCGCGGUCAGCUGUGGAGGCACAGCGAUCUGCGGCGACCGCUGCUGAAUCGACGCGUGCGAGUGCUCGCAUGGCGCAGCGGAGCUACGGCCGUGUUAGCGAGGGGGAAGACAACGACGCCGACAGCGAGGCGGACGUGAAAGGAGCGCGGCAGGUAAGCGUUUCCGUGGCCGCCGCUUCAGCGACAGAAGGAGCCACAGCUUCGGGGCAGUGCGCCGGCGAGGGCAACGGCAGGCGCGACGGCAUCGAUGACGGGCUACCGCUCAUUCAGCGCCGCCUGCUGUUUGGCAAGAAGGGCGAAGUGGAAGGGUGGAUGUCGGCCGUGCGCAGUCGCCUCCUCGUCCCACCGCAUCACCCGCUGUGCACCUCACGCAGUCUUCACCAGCUCGUGAGCAUCGUGGUCGGCCCCAUCCAGCAGCCGACGGUGUCGACAAUGCCAACGCGUCACCCGGAACCGCAGUGGCCGCCGCACUUUUUGCGUACGAGCAGCAGUGGCGGCGGUACCGGCGGUAGCAGCUUGCUGGGCGACCCGUCGACGGACGACAACAGCAGCUCUAACUCGAGCGCUGCACCUCACACGCUGCGGCACCGCACAAACGCGGCGGCGGCGGCACGAUACCGUCAGGCCUCCUCGGUCGUCUACAAGCGUGUGAGCAGCCGCAACCUGGACUUUUCGAGCUCGUGCGUUGCGCCGCACCUCAUAGCGAGCAUCACGGCCCACCAUGUGCUGAGCUACCCGGCGACGCGGCAGAAGGUGCUGGUCAUCGACCUUGACGAGACUCUGUGCCACGUCUCCACCACCACGGCGAACAUGGCAGGCCCGCCGACUUUCUCGGAGGUCAUUCCGACCGCUUCGGGGGCGGAGCUCUUCCACGUGUGGGAACGGCCGUACGCCCGCCUCUUUCUCUCCACAGCCGCGAAGCUCUUUAACCUCGUCCUGUUCACGUCCGCGUCGAAGCCGUACGCCGACACCAUCCUGCAGCGCAUCGACCCGGACGGUCUCUUGAAGUACCGCUACUACCGGCAGGACUGCCGGCUUGUCCCGCGGGGGCUGCUGCGCAAGAUGUGCGCGGCAGCAGGCAUGCGCGGACUGCCCCUGGGGUCGGGUGGGGAUGGAGGCCGCAGCAGCGUGGCGCGUGGCUCCAGCGAUUGCGACCGCAGUGGAGGCGGCGGCGGUAGCGUCGCCGGAGGUGGUGUGUACGGCAGCAGCAGCAGCAGCAGCGCCAGGCCGUUGGGCAGCCUCUCCUCAGUGGUCAGCAUUGGCGGCCGCCACAGCGGUUCUACGACCAACACCGACGAUGACGUCAACGGGAGCGGUAGCGGUGGUAGGGGUUCCACACGUGCGUGGGGCAACACACUCUCUUCCGAGGCCAAGGGAUCCUUCCUGGGCAGCGGUGGGACGGCAGCCAGCGACCAUGCACUGACGGCAUCUGUUUUUGUUGGCACAGCCGCCGACCGCGGCGGCGUCGACACGGGCCUUCCCGCCGUAGAGAAGGCUGCAAUGAACGAGCACGCCAAGGUACUAGUGAAGGACCUGCGGCUGCUCAAGGUGCCGCCGGAGCUGCUUGUCAUGAUCGACAACUCGGAAGAGUGCACGCUCGUGAACCCGGAGAAUGCACUGGUCAUACCCCCGUACAUCCCUGCAUUGUCCAAGAUGGCUCCACCGGCGCGCGAGACGACGCGGCGACGUGGGAGCCGCGGUCGCGACGAGCAAGGGAGCGGUGGUGGCGCCGUGGAGGUGCAGCCGCAGAACAGUCUCAAGACCAGCGACGAUGAUGCAGGCGGUCCAUUAGAGGGACGCACCGCUACCGACGCGUCGUCGAAUGUGGAUAACGGUGGUGCCGGUAGUGUGCAAGCCGCAGACGACUACGACGUCGCAGGCGGAACCUCAGACGAUUCCAGCGUGGGCGACGACAUGGCCACCAACGACGGCACCGAGGACGACGAGGAUGAAGUGCUGCUUGCGCUGCUGUCACUGCUGGAGUGCCUGCUGGUGGUUCCCGACGUGCGGUCGAUCCUGCGGCACGGCAGGCUCUAUUAGGCGUACUGUGAACCUCAUUAGUGCGUUGGUGGAAUUUCCGGCGUUCGAUGCGCGGAUGCCUACCAAGUAAUUCUCGUGUCCUCUCGCCUCCCUUGCGGUCUAUUGUUGGGCGGCCGUGUGUGUGUGUGUGUGUGUGUGUGUGUGUGUGGUGCCCAGGCCGUGUGCUGGCGUGAACGGAGUCGCCCUCGCCCUUUUUGUGUGUGUAUCAUCGUGCUUUUGACGGUUGCACUGCCCUCAACACCCCGCCGCCGCCGUCGCUGCAGCCCCUUCCCUCCCCUUUCUCCAAAUCAUUAUCGACCAUGACGCUCCAGCUUCAGCCCCUACCUCCGCCAAUCGCCUUCCCUUUCCCUCUCCAUUCACCAUCACCCAUGCCCACGCCGUGCCCGCUGCUGUUGUUGCUACGUUCCACGGCUGCGCCGUGAAG